rnacentral:lncRNA from 1 species
UUCUGAAUUUACCAAACGAUGAAACUCUGCUGAGGGAUCAUCAUGGAUGACGACCAGAGUUUAUCUCAGGUUAUUUGAGUUUGGAGACACGUUGUACAUUUGAAAUGUUAUGAUCGGUCCAAUUCGAAUUAGAUCCCGUGUUUUAUUUUGGCUAAUUUCCAUUGUGCGUCAUAGCCUUGUGAUUGUUGGAUCUGCCGCAUCAAUUAAUGAAGUCAUAUUCAAU